UCCGGUUGAUCCUGCCAGAUCCGACUGCUAUCCGGGUAAGACUAAGCCAUGCAAGUCGAAUGGAACAGCUUGUUCCAUGGCGAACUGCUCAGUAACAAGUAAUCAACUUACCCUUCAGUGGAGAAUAACCUCGGGAAACUGAGGCUAAUACUCCAUAGUUGGAAAUUCCUGGAAUGGUUUUCCAUCGAAAGAUAUUUCUAAAUGCGGAAAAUUCGCUGAGGGAUAGGAUCGCUUUCGAUUACGGUUGUUGGUGAGGUAAUGGCUCACCAAGCCUAUGAUCGAUAAGGGCCGUGAGAGCGGUAGCCCUGAGAUGGAUACUGAGACAAUGAUCCAGGCCUUACGAGGCGCAGCAGGCGCGAAACCUUUACAAUGCACGAAAGUGUGAUAAGGUUACCCGGAGUGCUAAAAUUAAAUUUUAGCUGUUAUAGGUGUGUAAAUAACCCUAUGAGAAAGGAGAGGGCAAGGCUGGUGCCAGCCGCCGCGGUAAAACCAGCUCUUCAAGUGGUCGGGAAUAUUAUUGGGCUUAAAGUGUCCGUAGCCGGUUUAGUAAGUUCCUGGUUAAAUCUGGCAGCUUAACUGUCAGUCAGCUAGGAAUACUACUUUACUAGAGGGUGGGAAAGGUUUGAGGUACUCCAGGGGUAGCGGUGAAAUGCGAUAAUCCUUGGGGGACCACCAGUGGCGAAGGCGUCAAACUGGAACACGCCUGACGGUGAGGGACGAAAGCCAGGGGAGCGAACGGGAUUAGAUACCCCGGUAGUCCUGGCCGUAAACGAUGCGUGCUAGGUGUUGGUAGGGCUUUGAGCUGUAUCAGUGCCGUAGGGAAACUGUUAAGCGCGCCGCCUGGGAAGUACGCUCGCAAGGGUGAAACUUAAAGGAAUUGGCGGGGGAGCAC
rnacentral:rRNA from 1 species